rnacentral:tRNA from 1 species
UGCAGAUAGUCUCUACUGGUAUGAGAGGUGCUCUGUAAAAGCAUUGGUAUAAACCGUUGUGGGUUCGAGUCCCUCAUCUGCAA